AUUUCCUGUACACAAAAAUAUGGACUAUGUCACCACAUUGGGAAGUGAAGACGGGUAGAUUACUUAAAUCAUUAGGGCAAUUUAUAUCCUGGUUUGAAGGGAAAUUAAAGCAAGGUACUUGGAUUAAUAUGUUUCAUUUGAUUUUUCUACUUUCAGCUUACAGGAUAAUGCAUUCAGCUAUUAAUCAAAUAUGUCUAUUGCUGUCAUAGUGAAUUUGGAACAAAAGCAGCCUAUAUUUGUAUAUUUGGGUUUUAGUUUAAAAACAUCAUGCUCAGUACAAUUUUUUCCUCUCUCCCCUCCUUUCUUUCUUUCUUUUGUAUUUAGUGGAGGAUGAAUAACCUACAAGAAUAAUAAUGAACUUUGGGCAAAACAAUGUUUUCCUAGGAGAAGGCCAUGAAAACUGAGAGUAUUCAAAGCUGUGUUGCACAAGUGCUUUGAAAAAUGUCUUGCACAAUUCUUUUUUUAUGGUACUUACACAAUCAUGUUUCUUAAUGACUUUCUAUAAACAAUCUUUUUUUACAAGAAACUUAAAGAUAUAAAAAUAAGGGGAGCACUUUUUGGAGAAAAUAUUUUAUGGUUGCUUACUGCUACACUACAAUAGACAUUAAACUACGGGUUUUUUUUUUAGUACAAUUUUCAUAUGUUAAUUCUAGAGAAAAAAAUUCUAGAGGAGACAGGAAAUGCAAUACACUGUAGGAGGUAUGAGUUUGCCAUCUAGAGGAGAGAUGUGAAAUUCAACCUUUCUCUAACUUAUUUCAGGAUUCAUUAAUUCAUUUAUUCCUUCUUUCAUUUAAUUAUUAUUAACUCACCUAAUUAUUGAAAACAUUAAGCAUAUGCUAGGCUUACUUAUUGUUCCAGUACAGAUUUGAUAAACAUAUUCAAGGCCUAUGAGCCCAGGGAAAUCACAAAGUGUGUCUUACUUUAAUUGCUAGGCUGCUUGUCUUUAAAUUCUUUUAUUUCUAAAAGAAUAACACUGAAAUAUCUGGAUAAUUCUAUACACCCAAAUUUGGGGUGGAGAUUACUUUUAGCUCCUGGACUUCAAUAGAACCGUAUUCUGUUUAGAUCAUUCUAUCUCUUUAUUUUUUUCCUUUUUAAUCCUUAAGAAAUGUUUGAUCUCGGAAUGAUGUAAUUCCUUCUAGUAAGGAACUCACAAGGUAAUAGAGUAGUAAUGGAGGCCAAUAAUUUUGAUCCAUUUUAAAUGACAGAGGUAAUCUCUAGACUAAGCCCAUUCUUUGGUAAAGACAGAGUAUACAUACAGCAUUCAUCUAUACUUCAACAAUUUCUGAAGUAAAGAAACAACUCUUUUCUUUGUUUUAUAUAUUCAAACAAUGUCUGACACAGUGUCUGCAUAGUAAUAUUCAAGAAAUAAUGAUUUAAUUGUUAACUUGAUUAUGUUGGAGUGGAAAUUGCUUUGGGAGAGAUUUUGACAUUCAUUUGUAUGAAAAAACUACGAUAAGGACAUAGAUAUUUCCCCCAUGUAUGUAUGUAUUCCUAAAGGGGAUUUAUAAUUUUCUUUGCCAAAUAAUUUGGGGAAAUCAUACAUUAAAAAAUUUAAAAUAACAAAAACUUAAAAACACAACUAAUUUUUCAAGGCCAAGAAUUAUUAAAAAGAAAUUCAAGGCUUUAGAUUUUGCUAAUCAAAUAGAACUAGAAUCAUUAAUAUCUCACCUGGAGGAGGUCAUGCCAUUUUAGCAGCUUGAUUUCCUCUGAGUUUCCCAUGUUUUCUCUUUCUGCAGAUUCACCUCAGUUCCUUCCAGGAGACUUGUCUUUAUGAAACCAGAUGAUUUUUCUUUCAGUUACUACCCUAUUCACCUUCAUGUGGCACCAAGAUUCAACUCUGCAUAUAACAAAUUCUCUGUGACUGUUUUGCCUGUAUCUCAUUUGUGCAGCAUCUGCCUCAUCUUCAUCUCCAGUCUCCCUUUUCAUGAGAGGAAUAAGCCUCACUCUGAUUCAAAAGCAGGGUUCAAAGAAAAGAUGUCUAUUUCUUGCCACCAGCUACGUGUUAUCUGUGCUUAGAACUGGAAAGCACACAUCAGAAGAGCACCAGCGUGGAGAGACAGAUCAUAAGCUGCUCCAUCACAGGGUUCACCUACAACCCUCAGAGGCAGGCAAAGAGUGAACAUGGAACCGGGGGAGGAGGAGUAACCAUCUGCUCUUACAAAAGACCACACAAGGACUGGCCCACACACCAGCCAGAGCACAUGAGCCAAUUUUUGCAGCAAAGCAAAAUGCAAAAGUCUGGAGUAGGAGUAGAGGAGAAACAUGGCUUUCUUUACAGAGGUAAUAUGACUCUGAUUAAGAACAAGGGCACUGAAAGACCUGAGUUUGAAUUUCAGCACCAACAAUAAAUUUCUUUGAAGGAAUCAUGGGUUUUGUUGUUGAAGAAUACCUACUUCACAAGAUUGUAAAAAAGAAUAAGCAAAAUAAUAUCUAUAGAGUGCUUUGUGGAUUGAUCGGCCUAUAGUAAGCCUUUAAUAAUCACUAGCUAUAUAUUUUCCUCAAAAUAUUUUCUCUGGCCUCCUAACAAUAAUGAAACUCAGUCUUUGGUGGACUCUGUGGCCAGGACUGGGAGAAGAAAAAUGGUAUGAUUUUAGACACUGUCCUCUAAAAGUAUGAAUUUUUAUUCUAAAAUAUUUUGAGUGUACAUAUCAUUUAACCAGGAAAAUUCCACUUCAUUUUUGUGCAGUUAGGAAGCAUAAAAAAUUUUAUGUGCACACAUAGCACACUCUCAAGUACAUUUAUUUGUACUUUUUUUUUUUAAGAUACACACAUACUUGUUUUUAAAAUUUAUCUGACUGGUAGAGAUAUAGAUAGUGAGAGAGAGAGACAGAGAGAAAGGUCUUCCUUUUCCGUUGGUUCACCCCUCAAAUGGCUGCCACGGCCGGCACUGCGCCAAUCUGAAGCCAGGAGCCAGGAGCUUCUUCCUGGUCCCCCAUGUGGGUGCAGGUGCCCAAGCACCUGGGCCAUCCUCCACUGCCCUCCUGGGCCACAGCAGAGAGCUGGACUGGAUGAGGAGCAACUGGGACUAGAACCCGGAUCCCAUAUGGGAUGCGGCACUGCAGGUGGAGGACUAACCAAGUGAGCCACGGCGCCGGCCCCUUAUCUGUACUUCUAUAGCAACCUGCUCAUCUGUUAUCUCCUAUGUAACCCAGUGUGAGUAGGGUUUAUAUUAUCCUAUUUUAUAAUUAAUGGAAAUAGGAACACAGGAAAACAACCUGACUUGGCAAAAAGCCAAGGUUAGACCUGGGGUGUCCGGACCCUUUCCAAUUUUUUUUAUCCUCUGUAGUGGCUGAUGACCAUGGAGGCAAAAUGCACUAGGAUUUGACUGCCAGAGGAGUCCCAGCUGAACGGUAACCAAAGGAGAGAGGAGUACUUGGAAGUAGCAUGGCUGAAAUCCAGCUAAGCGUUGAAAUCUUGUUGGCAAUUUCUCCUUAAUUGGCAGCAGUAAUUACUGUCAGUGAUCCAUCUAGCCACUUUGCGAACAGCAGGGAUGCUAGCAGGAGCGCCUGGUGGAUAUCUCCUAAGGGAGCAGUGAUUGCUUUGGCUGCACUCGGCUGCAGCAGUCUUUGGGCAGUGAAGCUCCUGCAGUGGCACAGUCGGAGGCGCUAACCAUUUUCUAAUAACCACCUCAGGCUUUGGCAUCAGACUCUCUGGCAUUGUCUAGGGAAGCUCUUUGUGCUCUUUCCUGCCGCUUGUCAAGUCAAGCCUCUUGUCUAAUUUUGCUGGGAAAACUGAUACUGUGUAUUAAAUCACUCACAUCAGCGCAUUCUGGUGUGUGCCUUGCUAGCGGGUUCUGGUGUGUGCCUUGCUAGGCUCAAGCAAACAGCAGAGAGGUUUUUAAAAAGGUCCCCUGUUUCACAGCUUUUCCAUCCAUGGGUCCAUGUGUCUGACAUCAGGAUGUGGUGCUGAGUUAAUGACCUCAGGAAACACUUGGAUGCCCAUAUUGUCUGCGUGGUUUUCUUGAACCUCACAUGGACUGACUUCAUCCUGUUUCAGAGUCCAUAGGGCUGCAUCUGCCUCUCCACUUCCUGUGCAGGCCUUCCUCUGGUUUGCGGCUGUGCACUUCAUCUUGCGCCUUUAAGGGGCACACUGAGCUGAGGGAGACAGAGACAUUUUGUGAGGUCUGCUCAGUGCUUAUCACCCAAUCACUGAUCUCAGCUUUUCUUUCCCUAUUUUACAAAUCUGAAGCACUUCUUCUCCAGUCUAUAACUCUCUGUUCUAACUCUACCAUCUUCAGAGGAAAUAAGCAGGUGUUAAGUUCCUUUUCCAAACCUUGACCUUAUAAUACCUUUAUUCCUACAAACAUAUGCUCCCAAGACUCAGUCACAUAAAUAUGUUAAACGUGGUAUUGAUUUGAUGACUUCAUAAACCCCAGAUUCCUAGACAGUUGUGUGAAAAGGCUUUCUUAAAUUCUCUGUUAAUCUGCCCUAAUUUCCUUCUCAAGGCAAUUACAUACAAUGCCUCUUGAAGCUAAUUCUUGGAAUUUGCAGCUUGGCAGCUUCCUACUGGGACUCUAAAGGGCUAAUAAGUCAUGAGGAUUAGGUCAAAUGGAAACUAUUCUCAUGUCCAACUUCUCUAUAAACUUACAUGCAAAGUCUUUAGAAAGUUCCCGGAAAAUGCAUAGUAUGAAAAACUAGGCAAGUAGUUAAAAUUUUUUUUGCACAAAAAUUUAUCUUUUGUCACGGUUUUCCACAAACUUUUGGAAGGAUUCUUAUAUUGUGACCUUAAUUGAAAGAACUAUUGCCUUGCAAACUAAAAUUUUACAAAUUUUAAGUUUACUUCAACAGAGAAGUGGAAUUUUAAGUACUUCAUUACUUUCCAGUGCCUUUGAAAUUGUUAAGGUUGGCAAACAGGCCCCCUGAGGGCAUGGAAUAUGUCUGAUUCAGCUACGGUUUUAUCCAGGGGCCCUACAUGUUUCCUAGAAUAGAGUGGCACUCAAUGAAUAAAGUGAAUGAAUGAAUGGAAAGAUAGAAUCAGAGUCACAUUGUAGUAGCCUAAUUGUAUAUUUUCAGGGUAAUGUGGUAUUUAAAAAGGGACAAUGACAACACAUUUCUAAAAGAAGAUGGAUGACUCUUAUUUAUCACAUCUUAAAAAGAAGGAAUUCAGCUUCUAUCACUUGAUCUAGGUUUUCAAUUACAGAAGCAUUGAGAAAUCUCUGUGGCUGAAUAAGGGUGAAUCUUUAAGGCAAGAUGAAGGCCCAAGCUGCCCUUGUGGACAUCAAUAUUCCCACAGAGUGCUUUCCAUGAAGAAAAGUAUGGACUUGCUGUCUUUUCAUCCAGACUCCUAGAGCUUGGCUGACUGCCUGGUUUAUCCCAGGACAUUAGUCAGUCCACAAAUCCCACAUUUGUUUAUUCAGUCCAGAGCAAGUGAAUACUGCCAUUCUCCCAUCUCCUUUGUUGGCACAUGCCUUCUUAACCUGCAUUGAGUUCUACAACACAAAAUAGAGUGACUAAUCUUUUGGGGGCUUCCCCUUCCCAGGUUCUUGUAUGAGCAACUACGUCGAUAGACCACAGAGCCGCGUGCCUGUCGUUUUCCCUCAUGGUGUCCUUUUAUUCUGGUGGUUCCACAACGUACUUGAUGAACUAAUACCUUCCAGAAUGUGGCUGAACUGGUGCCACCAUUAAGAAGGUUAUCAGACUUGCAGUGUUGUGAGGAAAUGUUAGAGGCAAAGAGAGCUUAGGUUGAUUAUUUACACUUAGCCAGUCUUCUGAGUGCAGAAGUCAUCUCCUUACACUCAGAAACUUUUCUAGUUGUGAGUAAGUGGGUCUGAAAGUGCAGAAAGUAGGAAUCUUAACACAGAAACAACCCUUUAGGAUUUUUAUACAGUUAAUAUGUGGUGGAACUGGAAGAUGAAGCUAAACAGAAUUACAUUCUUUAUCACUAGGCUAUUUGUCUUUCCAAAAAUAGCUAUAAAGACCUGUGAGAAUCUGUGUCUGAAUUUCAAUUGAUCGUACAACAAUGAUUCAUUUUGGAAGAUGGAAGAUAGUAGAAGACAGACGAGGGGAUAAAGGAAAUCAAACAGCUGACAUUUUUGCUGGAGUUAAUGCACCUGGAAAGCAGCACAUGAUGGCACAACUGCGUUAAUUUCUGCCACCCACGUGGGCGACAAAGAUGGAGUUUCUGGCUCCAGGCAGCAGUUUCGCCCAUCAUUUGUGAAAACCUUCAGAGAAACCAAGGAGAAACUUGAACCCAACAAGAGGACAAAUGGAAUUAUUGGUAAUAUUUUCCAGGAGCAGGACUCUACUUGGUGGCCAUUUGAAUCUUCUUUCUGGCUUUGAUAGUGAGCAUACUACAAAAUCCAAAAUGUAAAUAGAAAGAGGUUGAAUGUGUCAUGAUAAACCAGGUUAUGCUGUGAUAGCAAAUAAACUCAGAAUUUGAGUGGCUUAUGAAACACUGGCGUGUUCUCACACAUGUUUAUCCAUGGUCUGCACAGAGGGGAGGGCUGCUUCCUGAAGUCACUUAGGAAUUCAGAUGGAUGGAAUAGCCACUUUUUGGUCAUUACACCAUAAAGUAAGAAAAAAAAAAAGCUUUGGAGAGGCUUGUACUGGUGAUGACCGUUUGGUCUGGAGAUGAAGUGCAUUCCUUUUUCUUAUAACUGGCUGGCAGUCCUAUCCAACCAGGGUUGGGGGAGAAUUUGGAAUAUUUGGCAGAUGGCAUCUAUGAUCACUGUGGAUAUUGACUCAGUGUGCAGCUUCUUCCCCUGGCCUUCCACUUCUGGAACUCUGGGGACAACAAUCCCAUUGUCUAAAGAUACUCUUUACUAGCCAAAAAGGAAAAUGAUAAAUAUAUAAACUCAAUUUUUUCAUUUGUAUUUUUAACUCUGAUUAAUUCUGUAUUAAUAUGGAAGUGAGGGGUGAACAGCAUGAGUAAAAAAAUAAAGAACUUUGGGCCAGCACUGUAAUCUAGCAGGUUAAACUGCCAGCUCCUACACCAGUAUUCCAUGUAGGUGCAGAUUCGAGUUCUGGCUGCUCUACUUCUGUAUCAACUCCCUGCUAAUGUGCCUUGGAAAACAGUGGAAGAUGGCGCAAGUACUUGAGCCCCUGUCACCCAUAUGGGAGAGGUGGAUGAAGCUUCUGGUUCCUGGCUUUGACCUGGCCCAGCCCUGGCAGUUGUGGCCAUUUGGGGAGUGAACCUGCAUAAGGGAGAUGGAUUUCUCUUUCUCUCUCUGUCCCCACCCCACAACUUUGCCUUUCAAAUAGGAUAAAUAAAUCUUAAAAAAGUAAAAAGUUUAAAAAAGCAGGUGAUCAAGAAGUGGGCAGUUAAGAUGUUGCUUGGGAUGCCCAAUUGAGCUCCUCGAUUCAAGUCUUGGCUUCUGCUCUUGAUUCCAGCUUCCUGCUAAUGAACACCCUAGCUAGCAGCUGAUAGUUGAAGCAGUUGGGUCCCUGUCAUCUAUGUGGGAGACUUGAAUUGAGUUUCCAGCUCCUGACUUCAGCCUGGCCAUCAUAGGCAUUUUGGGGAUGAGCAAGCAGAUGGGAACUCUGGGUCCUUCCUUGUCUCUCUUUUUUUUUUCUCAAAUAAAAAAAUACAUAAAAAAUUCUAAAAAAUAUACAACCAAGCCUAUUAAUUACAAACAUGGAUCAUUUGUUAAUCCUUAUUCAGAAUUAUGUUUAAUAUGCAUAAUCAAACUUGGUUACAAAGAUUCAUAUGUCUCACUGUUAUUGGAUAAGGAGUAGUUUGUGUCUAUCUGAGGCAAACUUAGGUUGGCAUCAUGUUUGACCCUGGCUCUGUUGAAAUCAUUAUUCUCUCUCUCUCUCUC